rfam:Clostridium sp. CAG:167 genomic scaffold, scf296
AAGAGAAGGAAUCGUUAUGUGCAAAGCACAUAAUUGAGAAUCGAUUCCGACGACCUGCCGCCGAGCGUAAGCGAGGGGGCAUUACAUAUU